UACAGAGGGUGCAAGCGUUAAUCGGAAUUACUGGGCGUAAAGCGCGCGUAGGUGGUUCGUUAAGUUGGAUGUGAAAUCCCCGGGCUCAACCUGGGAACUGCAUUCAAAACUGUCGAGCUAGAGUAUGGUAGAGGGUGGUGGAAUUUCCUGUGUAGCGGUGAAAUGCGUAGAUAUCUGAAGGAACAUCAGUGGCGAAAGCGACUUCCUGGACCAAUACUGACGCUCAUGUGCGAAAGCGUGGGGAGCAAACAGG
rnacentral:rRNA from 1 species